rnacentral:rRNA from 1 species
AUUGAACGCUGGCGGCAGGCCUAACACAUGCAAGUCGAACGAGUGGCGGACGGGUGAGUAAUGUCUGGGAAACUGCCCGAUGGAGGGGGAUAACUACUGGAAACGGUAGCUAAUACCGCAUACCAUCGGAUGUGCCCAGAUGGGAUUCGCUAGUAGGUGGGGUAAUGGCUCACCUAGGCAACGAUCCCUAGCUGGUCUGAGAGGGUGACCGGCCACACUGGAACUGAGACACGGUCCAGACGCCUACGGGAGGCAGCAGUGGGGAAUAUUGCACAAUGGGCGAAAGCCUGAUGGAGCCACGCCGCGUGUAUGAAGAAGGCCUUCGGGUUGUAAAGUACUUUCAGUGAGGAGGCGUUACCCGCAGAAGAAGCACCGGCUAACUACGUGCCAGCAGCCGCGGUAAUAC